GCAGACAUAGUUUAACACAAAACACUAGAUUGUGGUUCUAGAAAUAGGGGUUGAACCCCCCUAGUCCGCC
rnacentral:tRNA from 1 species